AGUGAACGCUGGCGGUAGGCCUAACACAUGCAAGUCGAACGGCAGCACAGGAGAGCUUGCUCUCUGGGUGGCGAGUGGCGGACGGGUGAGGAAUACAUCGGAAUCUACUCUGUCGUGGGGGAUAACGUAGGGAAACUUACGCUAAUACCGCAUACGACCUACGGGUGAAAGCAGGGGAUCUUCGGACCUUGCGCGAUUGAAUGAGCCGAUGUCGGAUUAGCUAGUUGGCGGGGUAAAGGCCCACCAAGGCGACGAUCCGUAGCUGGUCUGAGAGGAUGAUCAGCCACACUGGAACUGAGACACGGUCCAGACUCCUACGGGAGGCAGCAGUGGGGAAUAUUGGACAAUGGGCGCAAGCCUGAUCCAGCCAUACCGCGUGGGUGAAGAAGGCCUUCGGGUUGUAAGCCCUUUUGUUGGGAAAGAAAUCCAGCUGGUGAAUACCCGGUUGGGAUGACGGUACCCAAAGAAUAAGCACCGGCUAACUUCGUGCCAGCCGCCGCGGUAA
rnacentral:rRNA from 1 species